rnacentral:rRNA from 1 species
CCUACGGGGUGCUGCAGUGGGGAAUUUUGGACAAUGGGCGCAAGCCUGUUCCAGCUAUUCCGCGUGUGGGAAGACGGCCUUCGGGUUGUAAACCACUUUUGUAGAGAACGAAAAGUCUGUUGAUAAUACCGAUAGAUGAUGACGGUACUCUAAGAAUAAGCACCGGCUAACUACGUGCCAGCAGCCGCGGUAAUACGUAGGGUGCGAGCGUUAAUCGGAAUUACUGGGCGUAAGGGGUGUGCAGGCGGUUUUGCAAGAUGGAUGUGAAAGCCCCGGGCUUAACCUGGGAAAGCCAUACAUGACUGCAAGACUAGAGUGCGUCAGAGGGGGGUGGAAUUCCAAGUGUAGCAGUGAAAUGCGUAGAUAUUUGGAAGAACACCGAUGGCGAAGGCAGCCCCCUGGGACGCAACUGACGCUCAUACACGAAAGCGUGGGGAGCAAACAGGAUUAGAUACCCCUGUAGUC